AGUUUAGGGUUUAAAACCCUAAUGCUGAUUGCAUGGAAAAGCUCAGUUUAGGGUUUAAAACCUUAAUGCUGGCUAAAUGGAAAAAGUUCAGUUUAGGAUUUAAAACCCUAAUGCUGAUUGCAUGGAAAAGCUCAGUUUAGGGUUUAAAACCCUAAUGCUGGCUAAAUGAAAAAAGAUCAGUUUAGGGUUUAAAACCCUAAUGCUGACUAAAAGGAAAAAUUCAGUUUAGGGUUUUAAACCCUAAUGCUGACUGCAUGGAAAAGCUCAGUUUAGGGUUUAAAACCCUAAUGCUGGCUGAAUGGAAAAAGUUCAGUUCAGGGUUUGAAACCCUAAUGCUGACUAAAGGAAAAAUUCAGUUUAGGGUUUAAAACCCUAAUGCUGAUUGCAUGGAAAAGCUCAGUUUAUGGUUUAAAACCCUAAUGCUGGCUGAAUGGGAAAAAGUUCAGUUUAGGGUUUAAAACCCUAAUGCUGACUAAAGGAAAAAUUCAGUUUAGGGUUUACAACCCUAAUGCUGAUUGCAUGGAAAAGCUCAGUUUAGGGUUUAAAUCCCUAAUGCUGGCUGAAAGGAAAAAUCAGUUUAGAGUUUAAAACCCUAAUGCUGACUAAAAGGAAAAUUCAGUUUAGGGUUUAAAACCCUAAUGCUGAUGGCUGGGGACAAAAUUCGAGAACAACCACUGACUUCUUUUUUUGAAUUUUCUUACUUUAGUAAAAGAAAUAAAAGGGAGUUUCGU
rnacentral:lncRNA from 1 species